GCGCGAAAACUUUACAAUGCGGGAAACCGUGAUAAGGGAAUCUCGAGUGCCAGCAUAUAAUGUUGGCUGUCCAGAUGCCUAAAAAGCAUCUGUUAGCAAGGGCCGGGCAAGACCGGUGCCAGCCGCCGCGGUAACACCGGCGGCCCGAGUGGUAACCGCUUUUAUUGGGUCUAAAGGGUCUGUAGCCGGCCAAGUAAGUCCCUUGGGAAAUCUGGCAGCUUAACUGUCAGGCCGCCAGGGGAUACUGCUAGGCUUGGGACCGGGAGAGGUGAGAGGUACCUUGGGGGUAGGGGUGAAAUCUUGUGAUCCUCGGGGGACCACCAGUGGCGAAGGCGUCUCACCAGAACGGGUCCGACGGUAAGGGACGAAAGCUAGGGGCACGAACCGGAUUAGAUACCCGGGUAGUCCUAGCCGUAAACGAUGCUCGCUAGGUGUCAGUCACGGUGCGACCGUGAUUGGUGCCGUAGGGAAGCCGUGAAGCGAGCCACCUGGGAAGUACGGCCGCAAGGCUGAAACUUAAAGGAAUUGGCGGGGGAGCACCACAACAGGUGG
rnacentral:rRNA from 1 species